rnacentral:rRNA from 1 species
UUAUUAAGAUUUCGGUAUGAGAUGGGGAUGCGUUCCAUUAGUUUGUUGGCGGGGUUAAACGGCCCACCAAGACUACGAUGGAUAGGGGUUCUGAGAGAAGGUCCCCCACAUUGGAACUGAGACACGGUCCAAACUCCUACGGGAGGCAGCAGUGAGGAAUAUUGGUCAAUGGACGCGAGUCUGAACCAGCCAAGUAGCGUGAAGGAUGACUGCCCUAUGGGUUGUAAACUUCUUUUAUAUGGGAAUAAAGUGGUCCACGUGUGGAUUUUGUAUGUACCAUAUGAAUAAGGAUCGGCUAACUCCGUG